GUUGCGGUGGCCGAGUGGUUAAGGCGUUCGACUCGAAAUCCAAUGGGAUCUUCCCGCGCAGGUUCGAAUCCUGCCCGCAACG
rfam:Nematostella vectensis strain CH2 x CH6 NEMVEscaffold_452_Cont27648, whole genome shotgun sequence.